UAAAAUUAAAUUUUCCAGCAGCCUCCCGUACCCAUCACAAGUGAUCCUUCUCAUAUCUUCAGCUUUGCAGAUUUGAAGAAGCUUAGAAUGGUAGGAGAUGGCCAUUAAAGAGAGCUGAUAAAGUUUUGGGCAUUGUUCCACGAAGACACUUCAGCAAAUGCCUAAUUUUCAUCAUAUUCCAAAAGAAAUAAAUGCUGACCAGAAGAGAGAAGAUAUAUGGAUUAUUCAGACAAGACAGAUAUCUCCAAAUGAAAAAGGUUUAAUGAAAUUUGGUCUUGACCAAUUCAGGAACUAAUUAAAGUGGUGUUGAAACCUCUGAGAGUAUAGAGAGAACAGGAACAAGAAGAAAAGAGGAAGAAGGAAUGUCAGAGUAAUUGCUGAAUUCACAACCCACUCAAGUCCUGGAAAGGUUCUAGAGCAAAUGACAGAGCAAAAACUUUCAACCACUGGAAUAUAACAGUGAUAAGAAGAACAAGGAAAAGAACAGGAUAUGUCAGCUCAGUUUCUGUCUGAUGGAUUACUAGGUUCAGUAUGUAACAGGAGAGAAGUAGAUAUAUUUCAGCUUGAAUAAGAAUUUUGACAUGUACACACAACUAUAUAAAUAUCAAUGAAAGAAAUAGUUUAAAUGAAAACAUCACAAUGUUCACAACUGAGCGAAGAACACUAAUUGAUGAUUUGCUGCUGAAACAGUUUCUACACAGGAACAGAUAUCUGAAAUAACCUUGAAGUAUUUGUACUGGAAAUAAUUUAUUUUAAUGAAUUAUAUUCAUCAUGUUUCCAUUACAAUGGAAAAGGAAAGGCGAAAUCUGUACAGAUAGCAAUCAAGUAAGGAGAUUCUGCCAGUAGAUUCAUGACCUGAUCCUGUGCUCUAGGACUCUUGAGUAGUAUGGAAAUACUGGAAUACAAUAAGGUGAUAAAGCACUCCAGAACAGUCAAUAAGUCCAAAACUAGACGAUGAAUCUUGCUAAAAAAUGCUUUCAAAUAUUACAGUUUGGGGGGAAACAAAUCACAGGUGCCAAGAUAACCAUCA
ensembl:lncRNA